GCGGUUGUAGCUCACUCGGUUAGAGCACUGGUUUGUGGUACCAGGGGUAGUGGGUUCGAAUCCCAUCAUCCGCC
rnacentral:tRNA from 3 species